rnacentral:rRNA from 1 species
AUUGAACGCUGGCGGCAGGCCUAACACAUGCAAGUCGAGCGGUAGCACAGAGAGCUUGCUCUCGGGUGACGAGCGGCGGACGGGUGAGUAAUGUCUGGGAAACUGCCUGAUGGAGGGGGAUAACUACUGGAAACGGUAGCUAAUACCGCAUAACGUCGCAAGACCAAAGUGGGGGACCUUCGGGCCUCAUGCCAUCAGAUGUGCCCAGAUGGGAUUAGCUGGUAGGUGGGGUAACGGCUCACCUAGGCGACGAUCCCUAGCUGGUCUGAGAGGAUGACCAGCCACACUGGAACUGAGACACGGUCCAGACUCCUACGGGAGGCAGCAGUGGGGAAUAUUGCACAAUGGGCGCAAGCCUGAUGCAGCCAUGCCGCGUGUGUGAAGAAGGCCUUCGGGUUGUAAAGCACUUUCAGCGGGGAGGAAGGCGGUGAGGUUAAUAACCUCAUCGAUUGACGUUACCCGCAGAAGAAGCACCGGCUAACUCCGUGCCAGCAGCCGCGGUAAUACGGAGGGUGCAAGCGUUAAUCGGAAUUACUGGGCGUAAAGCGCACGCAGGCGGUCUGUCAAGUCGGAUGUGAAAUCCCCGGGCUCAACCUGGGAACUGCAUUCGAAACUGGCAGGCUAGAGUCUUGUAGAGGGGGGUAGAAUUCCAGGUGUAGCGGUGAAAUGCGUAGAGAUCUGGAGGAAUACCGGUGGCGAAGGCGGCCCCCUGGACAAAGACUGACGCUCAGGUGCGAAAGCGUGGGGAGCAAACAGGAUUAGAUACCCUGGUAGUCCACGCCGUAAACGAUGUCGAUUUGGAGGUUGUGCCCUUGAGGCGUGGCUUCCGGAGCUAACGCGUUAAAUCGACCGCCUGGGGAGUACGGCCGCAAGGUUAAAACUCAAAUGAAUUGACGGGGGCCCGCACAAGCGGUGGAGUAUGUGGUUUAAUUCGAUGCAACGCGAAGAACCUUACCUGGUCUUGACAUCCACAGAACUUUCCAGAGAUGGAUUGGUGCCUUCGGGAACUGUGAGACAGGUGCUGCAUGGCUGUCGUCAGCUCGUGUUGUGAAAUGUUGGGUUAAGUCCCGCAACGAGCGCAACCCUUAUCCUUUGUUGCCAGCGGUUAGGCCGGGAACUCAAAGGAGACUGCCAGUGAUAAACUGGGGGAAGGUGGGGAUGACGUCAAGUCAUCAUGGCCCUUACGGCCAGGGCUACACACGUGCUACAAUGGCAUAUACAAAGAGAAGCGACCUCGCGAGAGCAAGCGGACCUCAUAAAGUAUGUCGUAGUCCGGAUUGGAGUCUGCAACUCGACUCCAUGAAGUCGGAAUCGCUAGUAAUCGUAGAUCAGAAUGCUACGGUGAAUACGUUCCCGGGCCU